rnacentral:rRNA from 1 species
AUCGAACGCUGGCGGAAUGCUUUACACAUGCAAGUCGAACGGCAGCACGGACUUCGGUCUGGUGGCGAGUGGCGAACGGGUGAGUAAUGUAUCGGAACGUGCCCAGUCGUGGGGGAUAACGUAGUGAAAAUUACGCUAAUACCGCAUACGAUCUAUGGAUGAAAGCGGGGGAUCGCAAGACCUCGCGCGAUCGGAGCGGCCGAUAUCAGAUUAGGUAGUUGGUGGGGUAAAGGCCCACCAAGCCAACGAUCUGUAGCUGGUCUGAGAGGACGACCAGCCACACUGGAACUGAGACACGGUCCAGACUCCUACGGGAGGCAGCAGUGGGGAAUUUUGGACAAUGGGCGAAAGCCUGAUCCAGCCAUUCCGCGUGCAGGAUGAAGGCCCUCGGGUUGUAAACUGCUUUUGUACAGAACGAAAAGGUUUCUACUAAUACUAGGAGCUCAUGACGGUACUGUAAGAAUAAGCACCGGCUAACUACGUGCCAGCAGCCGCGGUAA